rnacentral:rRNA from 1 species
AAUAGAUACCCUGGUAGUCCACGCCGUAAACGAUGAGUGCUAAGUGUUAGGGGGUUUCCACCCCGUUAGUGCUGCAGCUAACGCAUUAAGCACUCCGCCUGGGGAGUACGGUCGCAAGACUGAAACUCAAAGGAAUUGACGGGGGCCCGCACAAGCGGUGGAGCAUGUGGUUUAAUUCGAAGCAACGCGAAGAACCUUACCAGGUCUUGACAUCCCGCUGACCGCUAUGGAGACAUAGCCUUCCCUUCGGGGACAGCGGUGACAGGUGGUGCAUGGUUGUCGUCAGCUCGUGUCGUGAGAUGUUGGGUUAAGUCCCGCAACGAGCGCAACCCUUGUCCUUAGUUGCCAUCAUUCAGUUGGGCACUCUAAGGAGACUGCCGUACAAAUACGGAGGAAGGUGGGGAUGACGUCAAAUCAUCAUGCCCCUUAUGACCUGGGCUACACACGUGCUACAAUGGACGGUACAAACGGUCGCGAAGUCGCGAGACGGAGCCAAUCCGAAAAAACCGUUCUCAGUUCGGAUUGCAGG